UAUGGAGUGGACUUUCAGCUGGC
rnacentral:miRNA from 1 species